GGGGCAGUAGCUCAGCUGGGAGAGCACCACGUUCGCAACGUGGGGGUCGUGGGUUCGAUUCCCAUCUGCUCCA
rnacentral:tRNA from 1 species